ensembl:lncRNA
AGAUUUUCCCAUGAGACGUGUGAGAAAGAGGCUCCCGGAAUUCGACAUCCAACUUGAGAGGGUCAAUUGAAGCAAAUCCCUAGCCUAAAUACCACACUGAAAACUCCGAUUGGUUUUUAUGUACAGCAGAAGAAUCUGAGAAUCUGAAUCCUGUGAACUUGAUGAUAAGAUGGCGAGCUAUACCCAGAUUUUGGAUGCGGUGUGGCCAACCGCGUGAUCCAGAUCGAACCUGAUAAGCAAACCACGAAAACAUCAGACCCCAGUCCUGCCGUCAGGAAGGCAGGUAGUACACACACAGACCGGACCAGAACGGAACUCCCGGAACUCUCAAGCGCACACACACUGAAAUGGACUGAAGGACCAUAUCCUGGAACUUUCAAGCACACACACUGAAAAGAUCUAUUCUUCCUUUUUUUAUUUUUCACUGUUUUACACUGUGAUUUGUGCCUGACCACGUCUGAAAACAAUAAACU